CAUUUGAAAAGUGCUUGGAUGUCAUGAGACUUAAAAUACAUUUUAAAUAUAUGUUUAAUGUUUUGCGUGCUCAUAAACCGCCAGUUUAAAUGAUCACAUGAAUUUUGAGCAUAAGAUCGUUUCUGGCGCAAGAACCGUCAUCGUUAUGCGGGUCAUUCCUGCUCCGGCGUGGACAUCAAUCGCAACUUUGGGAACCACUGGAACUAUCAGGGAGCCAGCCAGAACCUCUGCUCGGAGGUCUACUCGGGCACUGCACCCAACUCGGAGCCAGAGACCUCGGCGGUGGUGCGGUAUCUGGAAUUCAAUCGAAACCGUGUGAAACUCAGCCUGGAUGUUCACUCAUUUGGCAAAUUCAUUUUUUAUCCCUACGGCUAUGCGAAAAACACCGUGCCACCCACCGUGGGAACGCUGCGCUCGGUGGCUCUGAGGGCCGCCAACCAGAUCGGCAGGUACCGUGGAACGCGCUACACCACCGGCACCUCCGCGUCCAUUUUGUACGAGGCCUCCGGCAGCUUGGACGACUUCGCCUAUGGCAAUCUGGGAAUCCCGCUGUCCUACACGCUCGAGCUGCCCGGUGACGAGUUCCAUGUGCCCGCCCACGACAUCAUCCACGUCUGCAAGGAGACAUUCGCCGGCUUCAUCGAGUUCAUUCGGCACGUCAGCCUUUACUAGGAGGCGCCACUGUAUUUCCUAAGACCUUAAGCAAUUGAAUUUAUUGUUUGUUAAAACUAAAAUGAUAAG
rnacentral:misc_RNA from 1 species